GACGAACGCUGGCGGCGUGCCUAAUACAUGCAAGUAGAACGCACAGUUUAUACCGUAGCUUGCUACACCAUAGACUGUGAGUUGCGAACGGGUGAGUAACGCGUAGGUAACCUGCCUGGUAGCGGGGGAUAACUAUUGGAAACGAUAGCUAAUACCGCAUAAUAUUAAUUAUUGCAUGAUAAUUAAUUGAAAGGUGCAAUUGCACCACUACCAGAUGGACCUGCGUUGUAUUAGCUAGUAGGUGAGGUAACGGCUCACCUAGGCGACGAUACAUAGCCGACCCGAGAGGGGGACCGGCCAACCGGGGAAUGAGAACGGGCCCAGACCCCUACGGGAGGGAGCAGUAGGGAAUCUUCGGAAAUGGACGAAAGUCUGACCGGGCAACCCCGCGGGAGUGAAAAAGGUUUUCGGAUCGUAAAGCUCUUUUGUAAGGGAAGAACGGGUGUGAGAGGGGAAAGUCCACACUGGGACGGUAUUUUACCAGAAAGGGACGGCUAACUACGU
rnacentral:rRNA from 1 species